GCCCAUAGCUCAGUUGGUUAGAGCAGGGGACUCAUAAUCCCUUGGUCCCAGGUUCUUAUGUGGUA
rnacentral:tRNA from 1 species